rnacentral:snRNA from 1 species
UUAAAUUUCGCAGUAUAUAUGUACUACUAUUCGAAAGAUAAAAAGAAGAUAAAUAUGACUUAUGAGCAAGGAUGACAUGCAAAAUUAUGAAGUGUUUCAUAUUUGU